rnacentral:rRNA from 1 species
ACUCAAAUGAAUUGACGGGGGCCCGCACAAGCGGUGGAGCAUGUGGUUUAAUUCGACGCAACGCGAAGAACCUUACCUGGGCUCGAAAUGCAGUGGAAGUCGGCUGAAAGGUCGGUGCCCGCAAGGGCCGCUGUAUAGGUGCUGCAUGGCUGUCGUCAGCUCGUGUCGUGAGAUGUUGGGUUAAGUCCCGCAACGAGCGCAACCCUUAUCUUUAGUUGCCAUGUCGCAAGACGGAACUCUAAAGAGACAGCCGGCCACAAGCCGGAGGAAGGUGGGGAUGACGUCAAGUCCUCAUGGCCUUUAUGUCCAGGGCUACACACGUGCUACAAUGGGCGGUACAAAGCGCAGCAAACCCGCGAGGGGGAGCCAAUCGCAAAAAACCGCUCUCAGUUCGGAUUGCAGUCUGCAACUCGGCUGCAUGAAGCUGGAAUCGCUAGUAAUCGCGGAUCAGCACGCCGCGGUGAAUACGUUCCCGGGCCUUGUACACACCGCCCGU